rnacentral:rRNA from 1 species
CCCUACGGGGCGCAGCAGUGGGGAAUAUUGCACAAUGGGGGAAACCCUGAUGCAGCAACGCCGCGUGAGUGAAGAAGUAUUUCGGUAUGUAAAGCUCUAUCAGCAGGGAAGAAGAUGACGGUACCUGAGUAAGAAGCCCCGGCUAACUACGUGCCAGCAGCCGCGGUAAUACGUAGGGGGCAAGCGUUAUCCGGAUCUACUGGGUGUAAAGGGAGCGUAGACGGCAAUACAAGUCGGAAGUGAAAUACCCGGGCUCAACCUGGGAACUGCUUUGGAAACUGUAUGGCUGGAGUGCUGGAGAGUGA